AACUCCAAAAGUGCAAAACAUUUAACAUUAUAAAAUGAUCAAAUAAUUUCAUUUUUAUUAUAUGCAAGGAGAAUAAACAUGACUAAAUUUCUCAAAUUGAUUUAUGCUACGAUUUACCUUCUUUUCUUGUUUCUUGUUGCAACUCACUGCACUGCCAAGGUUUUAAAGUGUACUCCUCCUGAAGUCGUGAAGUGCACUUGUCUAUGUGGGAAGCGAACACUUUAUUAGAUGAAAAAAAUAAUGCCUUGUUUUAUCAAAUAUAAUUGUAACCUUUGUUUUCUUAUGUAUCAAUAAAAAAUAUAAUUGUUUGAGUUCUUCCAACUAA